GGUCGGAUGGUGUAGUUGGUUAUCACGUGAGUUUAACAUUUGCUUCUUCUCGGGCAAGGUGUGCGCUCAAGGUCCUCAGUUUGAUCCUGGGUUCGAUUA